UUUUUCCAAGAAGCCACAAUCUUGGAGAGUCACGGGAUCGAGGUGCAGAGUCCCGGAGGACACUCCAACAGUGACGACGUCGACACCAACGACUACAACGAGCAGGGUUGUGAUGUUUCCUAUUUUGAAAAGAGAGGCAUGAACAGACCUUUUGGUUACUACCGUCUGGAGCCCACUUCACCAACACAGGAUGACACCAGUAAUCACGCAGACCACCAGGACCCCAUCUCUCUCGCUGUGGAGAUGGCAGCUGUCAAUCACAGCAUCCUCGCCCUGUCCCGCCCGGGAGGCGUGGCCAGUGAAAUCAAAACAGAGUCACUGGAUGACGACUGAAGAAGACCACUGGACGAAGAGGAUCAAUGAGUUUGUGUGUGGAUGUCUCCAGACGUAUUCAAUGACCAAAUCAACGCUUUGUCCCAAGCUUUUAGAAUUGAAUAUCACCUGCUAUCAACACUACUAAACAAGCCCAGAGUCAACGACGCACUCUCUCGACACGAGCUGACAGGAAGUGUGACUAUGUUCGGGCCAACAGAUCUUAUUUAAGCCUCCUGAACCCUGGCUGACCCAAACCUCGUACCUCAUUCCAGUAACUUGUAUAAUGCUUGGUGUGCUUCCUGUCUGUGUGCUCCAGUGACCCUCAGUUUCACAGAUAAGCUAAAGGCGGAGAUUUUAAGAGAGAGGAGAGUCUGAUAGCAAAUUUCUGCUUUGAAUCCAUGAUCUCCUCCAUUCCCACGACAGACGUUCUCAGUUAACAGGCUUAAUGCCUCUACUUUACUUUUUUGUUCCAUAUUUCUUUAAACUGCAAUUGCGUGAAUCUCAUGAAAACUGUCAAAAAUGUGUCUCAACACAAAAUGAAAGAGAGAUAAAUAUAUUUUGCAUAAAUUAAAUAGAAAAAACAAUUUUAAAUCGGUAGA